rnacentral:rRNA from 1 species
GAUGAACGCUGGCGGCGUGCUUAACACAUGCAAGUCGAACGAUGAAGCCCAGCUUGCUGGGUGGAUUAGUGGCGAACGGGUGAGUAACACGUGAGUAACCUGCCCUUAACUCUGGGAUAAGCCUGGGAAACUGGGUCUAAUACCGGAUAGGAGCGCCUACCGCAUGGUGGGUGUUGGAAAGAUUUAUCGGUUUUGGAUGGACUCGCGGCCUAUCAGCUUGUUGGUGAGGUAAUGGCUCACCAAGGCGACGACGGGUAGCCGGCCUGAGAGGGUGACCGGCCACACUCGGACUGAGACACGGCCCAGACUCCUACGGGAGGCAGCAGUGGGGAAUAUUGCACAAUGGGCGAAAGCCUGAUGCAGCGACGCCGCGUGAGGGAUGACGGCCUUCGGGUUGUAAACCUCUUUCAGUAGGGAAGAAGCGAAAGUGACGGUACCUGCAGAAGAAGCACCGGCUAACUACGUG